rnacentral:rRNA from 1 species
GAUGAACGCUGGCGGCGUGCCUAAUACAUGCAAGUCGAGCGAACAGAUAAGGAGCUUGCUCCUUUGACGUUAGCGGCGGACGGGUGAGUAACACGUGGGUAACCUACCUAUAAGACUGGAAUAACUCCGGGAAACCGGGGCUAAUGCCGGAUAACAUUUAGAACCGCAUGGUUCUAAAGUGAAAGAUGGUUUUGCUAUCACUUAUAGAUGGACCCGCGCCGUAUUAGCUAGUUGGUAAGGUAACGGCUUACCAAGGCAACGAUACGUAGCCGACCUGAGAGAGUGAGAUCGCACACUGGAACAGUGACACGCGCCAGAGUCCCACGCGGGGCGCAGGAGUGGAAUCUUCUGCAAUGGGCGAAAGCGUGACAGGGCACAACCGCGCGAGUGAUGAAGGUCUUCGGAUCGUAAGACUCUGUUAUUAGGGAAGAACAAAUGUGUAAGUAACUGUGCACGUCUUGACGGUACCUAAUCAGAAAGCCACGGCUAACUACGUG